GAUGAACGCUAGCGGAAGGCAUAAUACAUGCAAGUCGUACGGAUGUAGCAAUACAUUAGUGGCGCACGGGUGCGUAACGCGUAUGCAACCUACCUUCAUCAGGGGGAUAACUACCAGAAAGGGUGGCUAACACCGCAUAAUACUACUGAAUGGCAUCAUUUGGUAUUUAAAUCUGAGGAGGAUGAAGAUGGGGAUGCGUCUGAUUAGCUAGUUGGUGUGGUAACGGCGCACCAGGGCGACGAUCAGUAGGGGAACUGAGUGGUUGGUCCCCCACACUGGCACUGAGAUACGGGCCAGACUCCUACGGGAGGCAGCAGUAGAGAAUAUUGGUCAAUGGAGGGAACACUGAACCAGCCAUUCCGCGUGCAGGAAGAAGGGUCUCUGACUUGUAAACUGCUUUAGCAAGGGAAGAAAAAGCUCAUGCGUGAGAAAUUGACGGUACCUUGAGAAUAAGCACCGGCUAACUACGUGCCAGCAGCCGCCGUAAUAC
rnacentral:rRNA from 1 species